UAAAUAAAGCUAAAGUAGCCAGAGC
rnacentral:piRNA from 1 species